rnacentral:rRNA from 1 species
UACAGAGGGUGCGAGCGUUGUCCGGAAUCACUGGGCGUAAAGGGCGCGUAGGCGGCCUGAUAAGUCGGGGUGAAAUCCUGUGGCUCAACCACAGGGCUGCCUCGAGACUGUCGGGCUCGAGCACAGUAGAGGCAGGUGGAAUUCCCGGUGUAACGGUGGAAUGCGUAGAGAUCGGAAGAACAUCGGUGGCGAAGGCGGCCUGCUGGGCUGUGCUGACG